UCCUCUUUUAUAUCUAAAAUUGCCCUCGUAUUCCUCUGUAAUGAGCAGUGUGGAAGGGAUGUGAUGUUUUUCUUCAUUAUCCAUAAAAAUAUCUUUUACUUUGCUCGAUUUUUUAUUAAGAUAUGGUAAGGUGAUUUACCGAGUCGUCUUUAAAUGCACCAGGAGUGUAAACAUGGCGGGGCCGAUUACGACUGUGGAUCUGAAAGUGGAGGCUCAUAUUCAGCCAGAACCAAAAAGCAAAAAUACUUCUCAGUUUUCUUCCAAACAAACCGAGUAAAUCGAAUAACGCUGCUCCAUGCAGAUAAUGUUAGCUAACAGACGACUAGCUAAUCCAUGUUAUCAUAUUAAGCUUGUUAGCAAGAAUGCUAAUGUUGUUUUCCGUAUUUUACAUCCCUUGAAGGUUAGUUACUGCCAGGAAUAAAACCAAAUCCUCUUUAAUUUUGCUGCAGAAGUUGUGCGCAGUGUUGCUCUCCACACAGUUUCUGUGAAGAAAUUAUUCACAGAAUAAAAAGAGUCAGGAAGGAAGGAGACAUGCAGAAAAGAAGCGAGUAUCGAGCCAAACCUUUUAUCCGCCGAGGUCAAGUUUCGGCCAGAUGUUGGUGCCACUCUGCACAGUCUGGACACACACUCGCUCCGCUCCGUCUUGGUUUCAGCCCUGCGUUCAGCAGGCGUUUUCUGUGCAGAGAUAAUUAGCAUCAUUCCAGAUUCGGGGCGUUUUGCAGACACACAGAAGCAGGUAGAGAAAACUCUCCACCCUUACUUCGUCCUUGGUUUUGAGUUUGAUGGCGCAGGGGGAAAUCCUGUCUCCCCUCCACUGAGGUCGCCUGGGCGCAUCGUUCCUGUAAUGACUGUUAUUCCUAUAAACCUCCAGAGGCUCCAGCCUGAAGGGGGCAGUCCGAGUUUUCCUCGGCCGCCGGCUGGAAGAGGCUUUAAUGAACAUCACAGGAACCAACGCUGAACUGAAGAGGCACAAUGGAGAAAGACCACAGAGGAUUCACUCAUCAAACAACCCAGGAAGCGUCUCCACGGGAAGCAGAAGAAAAAAGGAAUAAUAAUUGUGUAUACUCUGAAGGUCCAAGAUUUGUCAUUAUAGAAUGGAAGAACAGAGGGAGAAAGAAUAAGCAAGGGAUUUCUGACGUUAUUUAAAGAAGUUUUAAUCAUUAGUCGGCUGUGCGGCGUGGCCAGAGGAGCCACCGCGGCCUCCUCCUGCGAAGAGAACAUGAUCAAAGAGGAGGAAGGUUAAAUGAGUUUAGUUGGUAGAAAGACAAGAAAAACUGACCGGGGUUUCUCACACGCCCGCUGAAUGACAAUGUAACGCCACGAAAUCCUACAAAUGGUGGACUCUCAGUUUCCCUCCAGACUGAAGCGACACAAAGAGCUGGAAAUCUAUUCAAAUCUCCUCGUGUGGCAUAAAGUGAGAAUCAACUGUUUGUUAGCUGCGACUCUCCAGCUGUCCCCGUGUUUGCCAGGCUUGAGCUCCCCACGUUCUCCUCAGUCUGUACGCAGCGCGAGGCUUAUCUCUGCUGAUCUUUUGUCCUUAAUAAACACUUACUUCACAA